GCCUCGAUAGCUCAGCUGGUAGAGCGACUGCCUUGUAAGCAGUAGGUCGAGGGUUCGAGUCCCUCUCGAGGCU
rnacentral:tRNA from 1 species